rnacentral:lncRNA from 1 species
UGUUGGGCUCCGAUUCUAGUUUGUCCGGAAAGGAAAUUUAGGGGUAUCCAGCGCUGCCGGAUCCGGAUCCGCUACCUCCACCACCGCCAGAACCACCAUUGUUGCUACCGCCUCCGCCGCCACCCGUACCAGCACCGGUUCCGCUGGCAUAGCCUUGACCAUAGGAACCAGUGCUACCAGUCUGUCCGCCUCCAAUGCCAGAGCCAGAACCAACUCCCAUGCUUGGACCUUGAGCUACACCUCCACCUUGACCACCACCGUUGCCGCUACCCCCUCCACUGGCAUUGCCUCCAGAAGUGUCAUCGCUGGCAGCCUGUCCAGCUCCAGCGCCAUUACCACCUCCAUUUCCACCGUCACCGCCACCACCGCCAGUGCCAACACCACCAGCAUCAGAGUAGCUGACACCACCAGCAGAAGGAGCUAUAGCCGGGGACGUUGCUAGGCCACUCUCACCUUCUCCUUUGCCAGCACCAUCUCCAGCUCCAGAUCCGCUUGACCCAUCUGCACCACCACCUCCACCACCGCCCCCACCUUGACCAUCAGCGUUGGCGUACCCACUACCACUAGGGGCUGAUGCCGAGCCACUCGAACCAACACCGUUGCCACCGCCGGAGCCGGAACCGGAUCCGGAUCCGCCUUGAGAACCACCACCAGCACCGUUUCCCCCUCCUCCACCAGCUCCCUUGGCAAAGUUAUACUUGUUACUGGAAUCUCCAGUAUUCUGGCCAAAUCCCAAGCCACCACCUCCUCCGAUCCCAUGGCCCCAUCCACUCCCAGCCCCACCUGUCGAGCUGCCACCGCCUCCGCCUCCCCCGCCUCCACCUCCAGCACUGGAGGAGCUAGCCAGCAUCCUCGAAGCAUUGGUGAACCCAAUGCUCACGAGGACAACAAAGCCAAGAGCUACAAGCUUAGUGCUAGCAGCCAUUGUGAGUGAGCUCGGUGUAGGAUGAGAUGAGUUGGGUGUGGAAAGCACGGAGGGUUGCGUGGAUAUAUAUAGUAGCGGAAGCCAUGUAUGGGUGAUGGAUGAUGAGUGCUAGACCUCACGCGUGGAAGGCGCGCACGCUCUGAGUUGUGAACCGACUCUGAGUGAUUUGAUGACAAGUUCUCUAAUCACGGUAGCAUGCACCGUUGACUGCACUGCAUGCAUCGAUCAUGCAAAUCUCUUCACGAACCGACUCUGAGUAUUUACUUAGUCGGUAAUUAGUUGAUGAGAACAGCUGGUCAGCUGUACAAGGGUCUGAAGAGUGAAGAUACGUAGUAUCGACGCUUGGUUGAGAAUUGAGAUUCCAUCUCCUGAUAGACAGAUUAAUUAAUUCUUCUCUUGAUAUACGACCGCAUGUAAUUUGACAACCAUGAUGGCUAUUGUUCUGAUCGAUACUGAUGAUGCGCUUUCUUGGGCAAACACAUGUAAUCUAGUUUAGUUUUGGGUUGCCUACAAACCCUAAGUUUUACAAAAACCUUUAGAAAACUUCUCUGUUAUGAUUUUUCGUGUGAGUUACCUUUAUUUAGAUUGGUUCUUACAUGCUGAACCAAAAAGUUCACACCUUAGUACUUCGUGUACCCUACCUGCAUAUGCAAGGAUAACUAUGGAGGUGAGGUGGCAUAAAAGAUCGGGUCGCAAAUACCAAGUACAAAUUGAUAUCGCGCCGUGAGAUUCGUCUAUCCCCGCCACAUGAAAGAACGUGACUUCCCUUGCUCGGUAUUUAUGACCUCACGAUCGAUUGCACAGUGGCCCAUGGAUGAACUGGAAGCCGUGGAUCCCAAAGAUCUGUCUAGGAGAUGUAGAUCGCAGGGAAUCCUUUGACAUUGCACUGAUGCAUGCCGUACUUGACCAUCAUCAAUCAUGAAAAACUGAAAACAUCGGAUCUACUCCUUAUAUAACAAAAGGAACAACAUAUACGUACAGUAAGUAUAUACACCGUUUGUAAGGCAAUUCUUACUGUUCAUUAAUUACCAACAGAAAAUAAUGAUGUAUGGUUUUGCUUAACUUGUGAGUAAUAACUUAAUAAUUUCCGUAAAAGGAAACAUUGACUCACCUAAACCGUAAGUUGCAUGCAUUACCUUAGCACUAGUACUCCUAUAUCUUAGUUCCUACAACUACAAGCACAUGAACUUUGGCAUGCGGUCUUCGCCGUCGGUGCAUGCAGUUUGAGAAAAGGCUCCAGCUAGCCCCACGCUAUAUAGCCACUAGACGAGUGGAGUUAAUCUUCUGGUAGACGACGAAGGAGAGUGUUGACUUAGAUUAAUUGCAUGCUACUCGUAGGAUUUAAAGCUAACUGCGGCGACCUAGGGUUUAUCACUUUAACGCGUCUCGAAGUUCAGAAAUUUGACGACGUAGUACUGUAAUAGUAGUACUACACACUUCGAGUUCGCUACUCCGAGAGUUGACCUACCCUAGGCUUUAUAUGCCUGCAUGCGAGAUCCUAACUAGCAAAUCCUUUUCUUUUUUUUUAAUAAAAACUUUCAUCUAUUCAUCAUCUAUCAUGUGAGUACAAAGAACAUCAGAAGUUAAGUUUUUACAACCAGGUCCAUAGAUCACCUAUCGACGACUACAAACACUAUAGAGUGAGAUGAAUGACGCUGUCAUCAUCGCCCCUCCCCAACCAGAGCCGGAUACACCUUUUUAUAGUAUGCAGUUGAAAAGUCGUCCUGCUAAGUCCUCAAAAUACCAACACACUAGAAUAGCAAGCGUCGUUGAUGGAGAGAAGUUUAGAUUGGAAGGAUAUAACCUAACACCACAUGAACAAGCAAAUGUAGACCGGACCCAAAUAGAUCCACUCAAAACCAGCAUUGACCGGAUCCCGUGAGAUCAAAAUUACCUGGAUUUUCAUGAGAAUUUCUUUAAUGAUUUAGAUUAGCAUGUUAAUCCAUUGCCCCUCCCGCAUCUUAAUUGACACGAUCGAUCUUUAAAGGUUUCAAUCUUCGUGUCACUACACAGGCCAAGUGAGAGAUUGUAUGAAUAUUUUAAUUAUUAAAGUGACACGUGUAAUUUACAAAACCAUUUCCAAUUAGGUAAGUCAUCUAGCGUAAUGGUUGAUAGACAUGAAUCCGAUAAGUACUCGGCAAAGGCCUUUCAGCAUACCUGGCCGGCAAAGCAAGGUAUACCGAGUGAUGUUUGUAGUUAUUCGACAAAGGCUUUGUCGAGUGCAGCAUGGGGACGCUGAGGAACAUAAAGAUUACUGACAGUCAGCUAACGAAAAAGAUGGUGCCACGUUGCACCUGCCUUUGUCGAGUGUCUGUCGGAGAUGCUUGGCAAACUAGUGCACCACAAGUUGUCAUGUGACACCUGGAUUUUCCGAGUGUCCAUGUACUAAUACUCGACAUACUUGUUUGCCGAGCACCGGUGGUUAACAAACAAUUCUGCCAGGGAUUCAUAGGGGCUAUCACAUGUCCCUAGUUUGCCGAGUGGCAAGCAUGAGCCGCUCCGCAUAUCCUCUUUGCCGAAUACCCGUGCUCGACAAACAAUUCCGUUAGUGAUUCCCAGGGUUUUCCAUCUGUCACAUAAUUUGCCGAGUGUCGGCCACGAGCCGCUAGGCAUAUCCUCUUUGUCGAAUACCCUGCGAAAGACCCUUAGCAAACCCUCUACACCGAGCAGUGCCAUUUGUCCCUGCUUUCCCAUAUUUGUCCUAGUUUCAUCUAGGUCGUCUUUGAUGGUGUUGUUUGGUGGUGUGGACGACGACGGUUCGUGUUUUUGGCUUAUUGUCUUCUUCUCUGUCAGCUAAAGCAUAGCAAGUUUUGGUUUGUCAGAGAGCUAGUGAGAGGAGGCCUCAAUAGUUCAAUAUCUAGCUAGAUCUGCUCAUCAGUGCGUCCUCGCCAACAUCUUUUGUCUCCAACCGACGACCUUCUAGCACUACGUCAACAAUGACAAUGUUACCCUCACUCCAAGAGUUUCCAAAGAUCUAAAGACGAUGUCGGGCUUGCUUACACCGUCGGUUGCGUGUGCUAUUUUCUAGUACUCCCUCCAUCUCAGUUUAUAAGUCCGACACAUGUACCUCGGUCAUCAAUUUGACCAACUUAAUGAUAAGCAUAUAUUACAAAAAAUAUAUCAUUAAAAACUUUAGAUGUUCUAUUUUCUAAUGAUAUAAUUUUUAUAUUAAACAAUAGAUUUUAUAUAAGUUAAAUUAACGACCUAGGUAUACGCGCGUGCCUUCUAGACUGUGACGGAGGUAGUAGUUUCUAAUGCUGGUCUUGUAAGGGUUGGUAACUACUCCCUCCAUUCCUAAAUAUAUGACGUUUUGUUAGUUUAAUCAAAACGUCAUAUAUUUACGACGAAGGAAGUAUAAUAAAUGGUGUUAGCAUUCUAUUUUUUUCCAUGACCGACCUUCCUAUAGUGGAGACACAUCUCUGCACCCAUAUACACACAUAUAUGCCAACAAGUAUAUGGAAGCUCAAAGAUGCGCGCGGUAAAGAAGACUUUGAUCGCUAGAACAUAUGCAUGCUAGCUACAUGCAUGUCCCUCAUGUAUUUUCUUGAUUCCAUUGUGAGAACCAAAAUUAGACAAAUUUAUUGUAAGGAAGCUAGAUUUGCGUAUUUUGAAAACAACCAGACUUUGAAGCGAAAAUGUCCAUUUUUAUAUGGGUCUAAGAAACUGGGGAGGAGGGAGUACGAUGCAGGAUAAGCAUACACUUAUUUGGACGGUCUGUGAUAUAAUAAAAAGGGAAAAAAUGGUAGCACCAUGGCCUUUUCAAAUUUUUUUUGAUAAAUAUUUGUCGCACAAGCUCAUGCUAUGACAAAUUUUGUUACACAACAUGCUAUGACAAAUAAUGAAUUCAUUUGGCCAACGUCGAGUCGGCUGUUUUUGUAAACCUGAUCUUGUUCAAUACUACCUCGGUUCCAUAAUUCAAACUAAAACCACAACAAAAAAUUAAGAAACAUGGGGAAUACAUGUGAUGUUAUCGUUCUUUCAUGAUGAGUCAGGCAAUCAGGACGUACAUCUUCCACGGUGGUGCAUCAUAGUGUAGCCACAUGCAAUAUUGCAUCAUAAUGUAGCCACAUGUCAACCUACGAAGCACUGAUAUGGCCACACCGAUAUGAUGAUACGGGUAUGUUGAUACAAAAUACGGUAACGUCUAAAAACAACAAUACAAUGAUACGGCAAGUAUAUAUAAAUAAUAUAGAAUGCCAUGUAAUAAAAACUAACAUAAUAAAAUAUGUGAGAUGAGAUCAAAAUAACCGUUCCACUAGUUGCCUAAUUGCUUCCAUGCCUCCUUGUUUCUCAUUUUAAAUAUCUCACUAUCAUCAAGGGGUAACACGGCAAUAGACUGCCCAACCUAAUUUGGUCUGUAAUACCUAUUAACAUGACAACAUAAAAUCAACAAACCUUAUAAAGUUAAGAACUUGAGAUUGUCAAAUGACAAACAUAUAUAAAAAGCAACCUUAGAUUGCACGGGUGAGCCAAAUAAUGUGUGUGUGUGGGGGGGGCGGGGGGGGGUACUACUGUUCUUCUAACGUUUUUUUUUCUUGAUACUGAUAUGAAGAGCACGACCUUCAUUGAAUUAUGUAUUCUCGUAACGAUAAAUAUAUAGGAACUAUCAUCCAUGAACAUGAUGAUAAUUAAAAUCAACAAGCAAUACAUAUCAAUAAUGCUCAAAUGAUGAGGAAGAAAGCUAAAAGAUGCCAUGGUGCAUACUUGUAUCUUCUUCCCUAGCAAUAUGAGGCAGCAGCAACAUCGACACAUAAUUUUACGCCAUAAAAAUCAACGAGCAGCAAGCCAACAACAUGAACAAGCAAUUUUAUCCAACAAGUAUCAUCCUUAGCAAGCACUUUUAUUCAACUAUUACAUCAGUACAGUACACGUUCACUAUCCAUAUGAACGGAUUAACAAUACAUCAAAACAUAAGCAAUAUUGAACGACGAUACUUUGGAGGUACCCGUAUUGCCACUUUUUAUUUGAAUAGAAAAAUAUGAUACUUCGGGGAUACCCGUAUCGAGGCCGUAUCUGGAGUAUCAGAAUAUUGGCAAAGUACUGAACGAAGAUACACAAAUUUGUAAAGUAUCGAUGCUUCAUAGAUGUCAACUAGAUGUUUUGUUGACUUGACAAACAUAGCAUUAAAUAAAACUGAGAGAGAAGCACGAGAGUACGACUUCGUGAGUCAUCCAUAAACAAGCUGGAUCAAGGCCGUAUAGAAAAAUAACCAGAUAUAAUUCUUUACAAGGUCGUCGAGCGUACAUGCUUGCCUAAAUUAUUUUUAACGGCUUACUAAUGCUUUGUGCUUUGGGUCUCGUAUUUGUGCAAUUUAUCCUUUUGUUCUUCUUACGUUUCUCAUAAAAACCAGCUACCAUCCCCAAUAGAGAAGAAAAAUAAAGGCAAUCAGAACAACCAUUAGGUAGGGAUAUAUAUUGGUUCGGAAGGAGUAACCAAGCACUCACACUAACAACGAAACAAACCAAGCACUCACACUAACAACGAAACAUAUCAGAAAUCAUAACAUAACAUAUUUGUAGGUAGUGAUUACAUGUUAGUAGAUUGCUCCACUAACUAUUGAGUACUUCCACUAGAAUUAUGGAGUCCUUUAUUAGGAGGCACCUAGUAAAAACCCUAUAAAUAAAAAGAAACACAAGUGACGUGGAAUAGUAGUGAAAUGAAGAUACUAUGUGUGAUGGGCUCCGAUUCUAGCUUGUUCAAAAAGAAAAUUUAGGGGUAUCCGCCGCUGCCGGAUCCGGAUCCGCUACCUCCACCACCGCCAGAUCCACCAUUGUUGCUGCCACCGCCACCGCCACCCGUUCCAGCACCAGUUCCAGUGGCAUAGCCUUGACCGUAGGAACCAGUGCUACCAGUCUGUCCGCCCCCAAUGCCUGAGCCAGAACCAACUCCCAUGCUUGGACCUUGAGCUACGCCUCCGCCUUGGCCACCACCGUUGCCGCUGCCACUUCCACUGGCAUUGCCUCCUGAAGUGUCAUCGCUCGCAGCCUGUCCACCUCCAGCACCAUUACCACCUCCAUUUCCGCCGUCGCCGCCACCACCGCCAGUGCCAGCACCGCCAGCAUCAGAGUAGCUGACACCACCA